CCCUCAAAGAUGAUGAGGUUAAUAGGUUCGAGGUGGAAGCAUGGUGACAUGUGGAGCUGACGAAUACUAAUCGAUCGAAGACUUAAUCAAAUU
rnacentral:rRNA from 2 species